rnacentral:rRNA from 1 species
AUUGAACGCUGGCGGCAGGCUUAACACAUGCAAGUCGAGCGGGGGAAGGUAGCUUGCUACCGGACCUAGCGGCGGACGGGUGAGUAAUGCUUAGGAAUCUGCCUAUUAGUGGGGGACAACAUCUCGAAAGGGAUGCUAAUACCGCAUACGUCCUACGGGAGAAAGCAGGGGAUCUUCGGACCUUGCGCUAAUAGAUGAGCCUAAGUCGGAUUAGCUAGUUGGUGGGGUAAAGGCCUACCAAGGCGACGAUCUGUAGCGGGUCUGAGAGGAUGAUCCGCCACACUGGGACUGAAACACGGCCCAGACCCCUACGGGAGGCAGCAGUGGGGAAUAUUGGACAAUGGGGGGAACCCUGAUCCAGCCAUGCCGCGUGUGUGAAGAAGGCCUUAUGGUUGUAAAGCACUUUAAGCGAGGAGGAGGCUACUCUAGUUAAUACCUAGGGAUAGUGGGCGUUACUCGCAGAAUAAGCACCGGCUAACUCUGUGCCAGCCGCCGCCGUAA